rnacentral:rRNA from 1 species
GACGAACGCUGGCGGCGUGCUUAACACAUGCAAGUCGAACGGGAAGGCCUUGCUUGCAGCUUCCACGAGUGGCAAACGGGUGAGUAACACUUGGGCGAUCUCCCCUUCACCUCGGGAUAAGCCUGGGAAACUGGGUCUACUACUGGUUAGGCGCCCGUUUUAGUGUGAUGGUUGGAGAGUUUUUUCGGUUUAAGUUUAGCUGUCGGCCUAUCCGCUUGUUGGUGGAGUAUUGGCCUACCAAGGCGGCGCCGGGUAGCCGACCUGAGAGGGUGGACGGCGACAAGGGGACUAAGAGACGGAGCAGACGCGAACGGGAGGCAGUAGAGGAGAAUAUGACGCAAUAGCGGCAAGCCAGAGGCAACGACGCCGGGUGUGGGAAGACGGACUUCGGGUUGUAAAAGGCGUUCGAGAGGGAAGUUACAAUGAGUGACGGUACCUAAAGAAGAAGCACCGGCUAACUACGUG